rnacentral:rRNA from 1 species
UACGAAGGGGGACUAGCGUUGUUCGGAAUCACUGGGCGUAAAGCGCACGUAGGCGGAUGUGUCAGUCAGGGGUGAAAUCCCGGGGCUCAACCUCGGAACUGCCUUUGAUACAGCACGUCUCGAGUCCGGAAGAGGUGGGUGGAAUUCCUAGUGUAGAGGUGAAAUUCUUAGAUAUGACACAGAACACCAAUUGCGAAGGCAGCUCGCUAAACUGUAACUGACGCUGAGGCACGAAAGCGUGGGGAUCAAACAGG